GACGAGGGAUCCUAGCGUUGCUCGGAAUCAUUGGGCGUAAAGGGCGCGUAGGCGGCUUUAUAAGUCGGGGGUGAAAGCCUGUGGCUCAACCACAGAAUUGCCUUCGAUACUGUAGAGCUUGAGACCGGAAGAGGUAAGUGGAACUGCGAGUGUAGAGGUGAAAUUCGUAGAUAUUCGCAAGAACACCAGUGGCGAAGGCGGCUUACUGGUCCGGUUCUGACGCUGAGGCGCGAAAGCGUGGGGAGCAAACAGG
rnacentral:rRNA from 1 species